rnacentral:rRNA from 1 species
GGUGGAGUGCUUAGAAGUGAGAAUGCCGGUAUGAGUAGCGAAAGAUCAGUGAGAAUCUGGUCCACCGUAUGACUAAGGUUUCCUGGGGAAGGCUCGUCCUCCCAGGGUUAGUCGGGACCUAAGCCGAGGCCGAGAGGCGUAGGCGAUGGAUAACAGGUUGAGAUUCCUGUACUGGUUAAACUUGUUUGAACAAUGGAGGGACGCAGGAGGCUAUCGAUGCGUACUGUUGGAUAUGUACGUUCAAGCAAUAAGUCUGUAGAUGAGUCAAAUGCUUAUCUACUUAAGGACAAGUUGUGAUGAGGAGCGAAAU